CACAGUGGUUUUGACGGGUAACGGGGAAUCAGGGUUCGAUUCCGGAGAGGGAGCCUUAAAAACGGCUACCACAUCCAAGGAAGGCAGCAGGCACGCAAAUUACCCAAUGAACGAAGUUCGAGGUAGUGACGAAAAAUAACAAUACAAGACUCAUCCGAGGCCUUGUAAUUGGAAUGAGUACACUUUAAAACCGUUUCACGAGGAUCUAUUGGAGGGCAAGUCUGGUGCCAGCAGCCGCGGUAAUUCCAGCUCCAAUAGCGUAUAUUAAAGUUGUUGUGGUUAAAAAGCUCGUAGUUGGAUUUCGGCGGGUAUUGGUUGGUUUGAAUUGCUUCAACACUGACUUUUUUACCCGUGUGUUUUGCCAGAAUUUAGCGGGUGAUCUUCGCCGAUUGUCCGUUGGAACUGGUAGGUUUACUUUGAAAAAAUUAGAGUGCUCAAAGCAAGCUUACUGCUUGAAUAGUUGCGCAUGGAAUAAUAGAAUAGGAAGUCGUUUCUAUUUUGUUGGUUUUCGGAAAUCGACUUAAUGAUUAAUAGGGAUAGUCGGGGGCAUUCGUAUUCAAACGACAGAGGUGAAAUUCUUGGACCGUUUGAAGACGAACUAAGGCGAAAGCAUUUGCCAAGAAUGUUUUCAUUAAUCAAGAACGAAAGUUAGAGGUUCGAAGGCGAUUAGAUACCGCCCUAGUUCUAACCAUAAACGAUGCCAGCUAGCGAUCUGCCUGCGUUUUUACUGUAGACUGGGCAGGAAGCUUCCGGGAAACCAAAGCAUUUGGGUUCCAGGGGAAGUAUGGUUGCAAAGCUGAAACUUAAAGGAAUUGACGGAAGGGCACCACCAGGAGUGGAGCCUGCGGCUUAAUUUGACUCAACACGGGGAAACUUACCAGGUCCAGACAUAGUAAGGAUUGACAGAUUGAUAGCUCUUUCUUGAUUCUGUGGGUGGUGGUGCAUGGCCGUUCUUAGUUGGUGGAGUGAUUUGUCUGGUUAAUUCCGAUAACGAACGAGACUCUGUCCUGCUAAAUAGAUUCAACCUUUCUUUUGGGUUGGAAUUUCUUCUUAGAGGGACUGGCGAUUAUUAGUCGCACGAGAUUGAGCAAUAACAGGUCUGUGAUGCCCUUAGAUGUUCUGGGCCGCACACGCGCUACACUGAAUCGGUCAGCUAGUUCUUCCCUUUCCGAGAGGAACGGGUAAACUGUUGAACUCGAUUCGUGGUAGGGAUCGGGGCUUGCAAUUAUUCCCCGUGAACCAGGAAUUCCCAGUAGGCGCGAGUCAUAAGCUCGCGUCGAUUACGUCCCUGCCCUUUGUACACACCGCCCGUCGCUACUACCGAUUGA
rnacentral:rRNA from 1 species